UCAGUCGACUCCUACGGGGAGGCAGCAGUGGGGGAAUAGUUGCACAACUGGGCGCAAGCCUGAUGCAGCCAUGCCGCGUGUAUGAAGAAGGCCUUCGGGUUGUAAAGUACUUUCAGCAGUGAGGAAGGUGGAUAUGUUAAUAGCAUAUUCAUUUGACGUUAGCUGCAGAAGAAGCACCGGCUAACUCCGUGCCAGCAGCCGCGGUAAUACGGAGGGUGCGAGCGUUAAUCGGAAUUACUGGGCGUAAAGCGCAUGCAGGUGGUUUGUUAAGUCAGAUGUGAAAGCCCGGGGCGUCAACCUACGGAAUUGCAUUUGAAACUGGCAAACUAGAGUACUGUAGAGGGGGGUAGGAAUUUCAGGUGUAGCGGUGAAAUGCGUAGAGAUCUGAAGGAAUACCGGUGGCGAAGGCGGCCCCCUGGACAGAUACUGACACUCAGAUGCGAAAGCGUGGGGAGCAAACAGGAUUAGAUACCCUGGUAG
rnacentral:rRNA from 1 species